AAGUGUAUCAUAGCCCUAUUUAUAGAUGGUUGAUGACAAUUAAUUCUCAUAAUAGGGAUUUAAUACAAACAUUCUCUCUUAAUGGGGUCUUAACAAUUAAUAAAUACAUACAUUCUCGUAAUUAAAGAGCUAGUUGGGCCUGGGUGUAUCUCCUCAUACUCAUUUACGAGGUUAUAACCCACAACUUUAUGGGGUAACGCAUUCCUGACAGUGUCAGGAUAUAGCUACAUGUUUUUCUAUGUCAGACAGCGUCGUAAGAACUUUAAUGUCAGUUUAACAUAUAUUAGCCAAGAUUUUGGCUCCCAUAUUUGCUUAUUUAUGCCUGGUUAUCUGAAUAAGCUACGCAAAGACACUUUUGAUUUUAUUUAAGCUGCUACUUGUUUAAAGGUUACUGUGCCUAUAAAUAAUGUUUUGUGCUCAUUAAUUUGUAGCUGCAGAGUUAAUGCGAACAGCAACCAAUAAAACUCUUUGUUGGAGUGAUUCAUAUUCUCUUCUUUGAUGAUGCAGAUGCUUUGACUCUGUAUGGUCUUAUUGUUGGUAUUAUUAUCUCCAAAAACAUUUGAUAAUUCUUCAAAUCGAAGCAAUUGGAUGCUUGACUCUGUGGACCUGUAACGUCGUGUUGGUUACAUUUAUUUGCUAAGAGAAGGUAGGUAUGGACUGUUGUUAUUUUUAAUUAAAGUGUCCACAUAAGACGUCGAUCAUGAUUCGACAUCAUAUACAAAAUGUAAGACAUGGAACAUCAAUCUUAAACCCUGAUAUAAUAUCAGGGUCUUAAUUAGAUGUUCUGCUCGACAUCAAAAGUUGCUUGUCAUCAAAAAUCCUUUAAUAUAUUAAUUAUAGUCAUUUUCCCUAUACUUUAUAUCCCAUCUUGAAAAAUAAAAAAUUAUUUUUCAUUUCCAUAUGUAACCAACAACAAUUAAUUAAGAAAACAAUUCUCAAAUAGAUCUUCCAUGCAUUAAUUUAAUUGAUAUGUAACGUUGGCUAAGUGAUAUAUAACGUUUUACAAAAAUCAAGUACUAGUCUCCAAAUAGAAAAUAUAUUAAUAAAUUGAAGAGUUUAUAACUUGAGGCCACUCUAAAAUAGAGUUCUCAUAAUUUAAUUAAUGACAACUUUUUAAUCACAAUACAAUUCUUUUGUAACUAAAUAUUACUUUUAGUCACAAAAUAUUACUUUUUUUUUUUUGAUGAAUCAGCAGCAAUUCAUUACUCCACUAACAAAAUUACAACCUAUAAGCACCUAUUUCCCACAAAAUAUUACUUGUGAUGAUGAAAAUGUAAUAUUUAGUGUAUAUAAAAUUGUCACUAAAAUAUAGUUUAGCAUAAUAAAUUAUAUUUUUUGUGACUAAUAUUUUUAGUCAUAUAUUUUUUCGAGAUAAUAACAUAAAUAUGAGUAUUGUUUUAGUAAUAUGGUUGUCAUGUUUAGUCAGUUACGACUAAAAGUAAGAUUUUGUGUAACUUGAGUUAUGUAUAUAUCAAUUAGAGAUCUCCGAAUUUCCAUUUAUAUAUAUAUAUAUAUAUGAAACUUAGAUAUUAUGAGAUGAUUGCAUUACUCAAAUUAAUGGGACAUCAGUUUUAUAUUCCAGAGAUAUAAUUUAUAUAUAUAUAUGUAUGUAUAUAAUCCUUCAAUAUAUAUAGGGCAACCUUAUAUAGAAGGUUAAUUAGAUAUAAUUAAGAGAAAACUGAAGUUAGAUAUAUCUACGAUUACCGCUACUUCACAUUAUUCUCAAUAUCAUACGUACGUACCAAAAUUUUGAAAAUAUAAAAAAAAUUAAUAUAAUAUUUGAGUACAUAUAUAUCUCUACUCUUUUCAAUGAUCGAACUUUAUUCAGUACACAAAUCGGAAUGACAAACCGGCAACUACAAUUAUUUAUUCUGCAAUAUAUGAGGCACAUUUCAAAAAUUAUGAAUGUAAUAACAUAUAUACAAAUACACAUAAAUAUCUUAUUAGAAGAUAAAAAGCAAAUUAUUAUAUAAUUUUACAAAAACUGAAGAUAUAAGUUUAUUUGUCAAUAAUCAUAUAUAAAGCAAUAUUAAUUACAAUAUUAAGAAAAAAAAAUAAUACAUAGUGAAGCUACACACUUGAAGAUAUGAUGAUUAUGAUGAUUAAGGUUGAUUUGGUUGAGGAUUUUGUUGUUUAAGAAGUGAGUCGGAUUUUGAAAAUGGAGGAGAAAAUGAGAAUCGAGGUUGACGAGGUAAUAAUUUUGAUGGCGGGAUUGAUGGUGGAAAAAGCGGCCGCCGUAGUGGUGGUCCAAGUAAUAUUAUUGGAAGGUGUAAUAAUGGUGGAGGUGGAGGUGG